rnacentral:rRNA from 1 species
CUGGCGGCGUGCUUAACACAUGCAAGUCGAACGAUGAUCCCAGCUUGCUGGGGGAUUAGUGGCGAACGGGUGAGUAACACGUGAGUAACCUGCCCUUGACUCUGGGAUAAGCCUGGGAAACUGGGUCUAAUACCGGAUAUGACUCCUCAUCGCAUGGUGGGGGGUGGAAAGCUUUUGUGGUUUUGGAUGGACUCGCGGCCUAUCAGCUUGUUGGUGGGGUAAUGGCCUACCAAGGCGACGACGGGUAGCCGGCCUGAGAGGGUGACCGGCCACACUGGGACUGAGACACGGCCCAGACUCCUACGGGAGGCAGCAGUGGGGAAUAUUGCACAAUGGGCGCAAGCCUGAUGCAGCGACGCCGCGUGAGGGAUGACGGCCUUCGGGUUGUAAACCUCUUUCAGUAGGGAAGAAGCGUAAGUGACGGUACCUGCAGAAGAAGCGCCGGCUAACUACGUGCCAGCAGCCGCGGUAAUACGUAGGGCGCAAGCGUUAUCCGGAAUUAUUGGGCGUAAAGAGCUCGUAGGCGGUUUGUCGCGUCUGCUGUGAAAGACCGGGGCUCAACUCCGGUUCUGCAGUGGGUACGGGCAGACUAGAGUGCAGUAGGGGAGACUGGAAUUCCUGGUGUAGCGGUGAAAUGCGCAGAUAUCAGGAGGAACACCGAUGGCGAAGGCAGGUCUCUGGGCUGUAACUGACGCUGAGGAGCGAAAGCAUGGGGAGCGAACAGGAUUAGAUACCCUGGUAGUCCAUGCCGUAAACGUUGGGCACUAGGUGUGGGGGACAUUCCACGUUUUCCGCGCCGUAGCUAACGCAUUAAGUGCCCCGCCUGGGGAGUACGGCCGCAAGGCUAAAACUCAAAGGAAUUGACGGGGGCCCGCACAAGCGGCGGAGCAUGCGGAUUAAUUCGAUGCAACGCGAAGAAC